GGGGCGUAGCCAGAAGAAAACGAUGUGCAAGCAACUACUGCCGAGCGGAGCGAGGCGAAAAAAUUUUGGGACCCUUUAAUGCAGAAAAAUGUUUUUUUUUCGGUUUUCGGUCAUAGGACGGUUUAUAGAGGAGCUACAUGUAGAUAGGACUUAUAAACAAUUUAUGAACGUAAAACUAUUAAUACUUGAAUCUUCUGAAUAGAGUAAAUCAUGGUUAAUUUAAUACAUAAACAACACAUUUUUGAAUUACAGAAUUUACUCAACAUUGACCAAAAUCUGCUCUUCGGGUCUAAGCAGAAACGAACUUCUCUAUUACUUUGUCAACAUUCACACUGAAAUCCCGGUCAAUAUGCAGUAAUGCUAGCGAUGAUAACCUGACGUUGUUAAUUUUCAACAGACUUAAUAAACUGAUAGAUCUGCAUGGUAGCACUCGCGAGAUGUUAUAAACCAGCGUACGUGUUCUCCAUCGAGCGACCUCCCGAUUGAAAUUGUCCGCCAAAUACAUGCCAGGUCAUUUUGUAUGUCUCAAACAAUGUUGAGAAUUAUUCGUUGGUUAUAUGUCCUACAACACGAGGAAGCAGAUACGACACAAAGAAGCCAUUUUCUGAUAAUACCAGACAUCCUCUACUCUCCAAUUCCAUUAUCAUAUGGUCUUCGUGUGUGAACGCAAAAUAUAAUGAGACUUUCCAAUGCUCUUUUGGCGUGUUUUCAGGGUGAUUGGCUCUGGUAGUCUGUCGAAUACAUCGCCUCGGCAUAUUUUCAAUAAUAUCAAAUGGUUUCGAUAAAUCUCGAUUGGUACAUCGCAUCGCAAACAGAUAAGCCGUACUCUGUAAAAUGUGCUCCGAAACUACACGUCUUAGACUGAGUAUAAUAAAUUCAAAUCUGGUAAAAAAUACAAGUUACUGUCCGAUUUUUACAUGAUCUCUAAUAAAACGUUUAAUUUGAAAUGCCGUUAUUUAAUGAAAGUUCAUCAAUUAAAAAAGUAACAACAUAUGUGUUUCCUUUAACCACAAUUAAUUUAUAAAUUUUUAUUUUGGCAUUUAUUUUUUUUGCUUGCCGAAUCGAUGUGCACGCAACUGCGUGUUAGC
rnacentral:lncRNA from 1 species